AGGGCAGUAGCUCAAUUUGGUAGAGCACCGGUCUCCAAAACCGGCGGUUGCGGGUUCGAGUCCCUCCUGCCCUG
rnacentral:tRNA from 2 species